GCAAGCCUCCUGCCAUCACAGGCAGCUCACACUGAGUCCUGGCACGGAAGAUGUGGGAUCGGGAUCUCAACCACGUCAGAGUUGCACAUCUGCUGGCCUUUUCCCAGCCUCUGUGGGAGGCUCUUCCUUAUCAAGAGCUCGUGAGCUGUAUAUGGGUAUGCCAAGAAGAAAGGAUGGGACUUGAGACUGGGUGAGAAGACAUUUGGCAGAGCCAGCCUGAGCCCCAUACACCUCAGGUGAUGGCCAUUCCCUUUACCAGCCCACAGCCCAUAGCUUACCCAGCCGGGGUUGACAGUGAAGUCCCCAGAACCACGUCAGGAACAAGUCUAAACUGCAGUUUCCUAGGCUCUACCCUAAGAGACUCUGAUUUUGAGCGUAGCCUGGAAAUCUGGGUUUCAGCCAACCCCCGGGGUGACUCUGAUGUAGGGGUUCCCAAGGUACCUCUGGGCAAACACUGGCCCAAUGAACCAGAGCCUCUGCUCGAUCCAUCUACUCAACGUACAUGUGCUACGCACCUCCUAUGCGAAGGCCCAAGGAAAGACACACCAGAGAGCCCGUCCUCAUGGCCCUUACAGCCUCCCAGCAGAGAUCACGCAAGUGGGGGACCCUGUUGUUAUUCUCAUUUUACAGCGAAGGAGACCGAGGCUCAGAGGGGACAUUUUGACCGAGGUCAUAAAACCAAUGAAGGAAGAAGCAAGAAGAGUGCAACAGAGUGAGAAGCCAAAGCAGCAAAGAAGAUUGGCCUCAAUUAGCAGAACUGACUUAUUCCGAACUCCACACAAUUUCUGGGAAAAUGCAGGCUUCCUGAGACUUCACUGGGCGCUGCCUGUGUGUUUGGAGGAGCACAAAUUCUCUUUCAUAAGUGGGAAAUGACAUCGGGCGAGGGCUACCAGCAGGAAGACAAGAACUCCCAUUACUUCAGCCUCUGCUCUCAGGCUGUUCAUAGUCUUGGAAAAAGCUGAGCAGGCCAUCUCCAGGGCUGAGGACACUGACCUGAUGAAAC